rnacentral:rRNA from 1 species
GAUGAACGCUGGCGGCGUGCUUAACACAUGCAAGUCGAACGAUGAAGCCCAGCUUGCUGGGUGGAUUAGUGGCGAACGGGUGAGUAACACGUGAGUAACCUGCCCUUAACUCUGGGAUAAGCCUGGGAAACUGGGUCCAAUACCGGAUAGGAGCGUCCACCGCAUGGUGGGUGUUGGAAAGAUUUAUCGGUUUUGGAUGGACUCGCGGCCUAUCAGCUUGUUGGUGAGGUAAUGGCUCACCAAGGCGACGACGGGUAGCCGGCCUGAGAGGGUGACCGGCCACACUGGGACUGAGACACGGCCCAGACUCCUACGGGAGGCAGCAGUGGGGAAUAUUGCACAAUGGGCGAAAGCCUGAUGCAGCGACGCCGCGUGAGGGAUGACGGCCUUCGGGUUGUAAACCUCUUUCAGUAGGGAAGAAGCGAAAGUGACGGUACCUGCAGAAGAAGCACCGGCUAACUACGUG